rnacentral:rRNA from 1 species
GCUCAGAAACUUAAAGGAAUUGACGGGGGCCCGCACAAGCGGUGGAGCAUGUGGUUUAAUUCGAUGAUACGCGAGGAACCUUACCUGGGCUCAAAUGUAUGUUGACGUAUUCUGAAAGGGAUACUUCUUCGGACAAUAUACAAGGUGCUGCAUGGUUGUCGUCAGCUCGUGCCGUGAGGUGUCGGGUUAAGUCCCAUAACGAGCGCAACCCCUAUCAUUAGUUGCCAUCAGGUCAAGCUGGGGACUCUAAUGAAACUGCCUACGCAAGUAGUGAGGAAGGUGGGGAUGACGUCAAAUCAGCACGGCCCUUACGUCCAGGGCUACACACGUGCUACAAUGGCCGAUACAGAGGGCAGCUACCUGGUGACAGGAUGCAAAUCUCCAAAGUCGGUCUCAGUUCGGAUCGGAGUCUGCAACCCGACUCCGUGAAGUUGGAUUCGCUAGUAAUCGCGCAUCAGCCAUGGCGCGGUGAAUACGUUCCCGGGCCUU